CCCGUAGCAAUACGGGAGCGGCAGACGGGAGAGUAACACGUGGGAACAUGCCCUUCGGUUCGGAAUAACCCAGGGAAACUUGGGCUAAUACCGGAUACGUCCGUAAGGAGAAAGAUUUAUCGCCGAAGGAUUGGCCCGCGUCCGAUUAGCUUGUUGGUGGGGUAAUGGCUCACCAAGGCGACGAUCGGUAGCUGGUCUGAGAGGAUGAUCAGCCUCACUGGGACUGGGACACGGCCCAG
rnacentral:rRNA from 1 species